UGGGGAAUAUUGGACAAUGGGGGCAACCCUGAUCCAGCGAUGCCGCGUGAGUGAAGAAGGCCUUCGGGUCGUAAAGCUCUUUAGGUUGGGAAGAAGUGCGUGGUGUGAAUAACACCAUGUGUUGACGGUACCGACAGAAUAAGCACCGGCAAACUCUGUGCCAGCAGCCGCGGUAAUACAGAGGGUGCGAGCGUUAAUCGGAGUUACUGGGCGUAAAGGGCGCGUAGGCGGUGAUGUGAGUGCGAUGUGAAAGCCCUGGGCUUAACCUGGGAAGUGCAUCGUAAACUGCAUUGCUGGAGUAUAUGAGAGGGUGGCGGAAUUUCCGGUGUAGCGGUGAAAUGCGUAGAGAUCGGAAGGAACGUCGAUGGCGAAGGCAGCCACCUGGCAUAAUACUGACGCUGAGGCGCGAAAGCGUGGGGAGCGAACAG
rnacentral:rRNA from 1 species